rnacentral:lncRNA from 1 species
UCAGGAACCCUCCUGCCUCCCAUGUGCCUUGGCAUUCUUGCUACACCUUAUCAGUGAUGUUGUGUUAAAGUAUUUUGUCAACAUCCAAAUGCCUCAGAUACUGCCUCCCUCCAGACCCCAGGACCCAACCCAGGACCUUCGGGCUUUCACUUUUCCCUAAACCAUGGGCUACCUCACCAAGGCACACACUGAGUCACCUCAUUGACUCAAGAAUCCUUCAAGAUCUUCUCAUAAAUAAGAUGGUAUUGGGCAUGCUGGCACAAGUCUUUAAUCCAGGCACUUGGGAAGCUGAGCAGGUGGAUCCCCAUGAGUACAAAGCCAAUCUGGUCUGCAUAUCAAGUUUCAAGCCAGUCAGGGCUACAUAGGGAGAAUCUGUAGAAAGAAAGAAGGGUGGUGGGGGUUAGGAUAGGCUAUAUAGAGAGACACUGUAGAAAGAGAGAGGAGAGGGG